GAUGAACGCUGGCGGCGUGCCUAAUACAUGCAAGUCGAGCGAACAGACGAGGAGCUUGCUCCUCUGACGUUAGCGGCGGACGGGUGAGUAACACGUGGAUAACCUACCUAUAAGACUGGGAUAACUUCGGGAAACCGGAGCUAAUACCGGAUAAUAUAUUGAACCGCAUGGUUCAAUAGUGAAAGACGGUUUUGCUGUCACUUAUAGAUGGAUCCGCGCCGCAUUAGCUAGUUGGUAAGGUAACGGCUUACCAAGGCAACGAUGCGUAGCCGACCUGAGAGGGUGAUCGGCAACACUGGAACUGGGACACGGUCCAGACUCCUACGGGAGGCAGCAGUAGGGAAUCUUCCGCAAUGGGCGAAAGCCUGACGGAGCAACGCCGCGUGAGUGAUGAAGGUCUUCGGAUCGUAAAACUCUGUUAUUAGGGAAGAACAAAUGUGUAAGUAACUAUGCACGUCUUGACGGUACCUAAUCAGAAAGCCACGGCUAACUACGUG
rnacentral:rRNA from 1 species